UCCUGGGGUGGGGGAGGCCCGGCCACACUCUGCGUUCGGGAGUUUCCAGGGGAAGGGCGGUGCCCACCCCCAGUGCCUAUCCUAAGUCCUCCUUUUUGCCAGGUUUCAAACUCUCUAAGGUUAUAAAGGAAACCUUGAAAGGCCAGGAGGCUGCCAGGGAAAAGGGACAUGGGCCGGGGCUGGAGGAACUGGGAGACCUGGGGUGUCUUUAGACCGGUGGCACGGUGGCGUCUGAGAAAUGGCCCAGCAUGGUCGUGCGGCGACAGGGCCCUGGGGAUGCCUGUCUUUCGCUUCCACAGACACUUCCUUGCAAAUGGAGACUGAUCCUGUAAAGAACUGAGAGGCGAGCGACAGAUGCGGGCUCAGGUGGGGACCUAGGGCCCAGACUUAAUCUGCAAGCUGACUCCGAGAUCUUAGAGAUCCCUGUUAAGAAGAACCCUCCACUCCUUUCUCCAUCCCGGCUCCCCCUCCCAGAAGAAGGGAAGCGGCUAACCUGAUUUCCUAAAAUGGACCAAAAUAAAACCUCAAAUUGGUGAAAUAAAGUAUUGGCAAGCA